GCAGAUAUAGUUUAAGAAAAACGCUAGAUUGUGGUUCUAGAAAUAGAAGUUAGAGUCUUCUUAUCCGCC
rnacentral:tRNA from 1 species